rnacentral:rRNA from 1 species
CUCGUAGGCGGUCCGUCGCGUCCGGUGUGAAAGUCCAUCGCUUAACGGUGGAUCCGCGCCGGGUACGGGCGGGCUUGAGUGCGGUAGGGGAGACUGGAAUUCCCGGUGUAACGGUGGAAUGUGUAGAUAUCGGGAAGAACACCAAUGGCGAAGGCAGGUCUCUGGGCCGUUACUGACGCUGAGGAGCGAAAGCGUGGGGAGCGAACA